AUUGAACGCUGGCGGCAUGCCUUACACAUGCAAGUCGAACGGCAGCGGACCUUCGGGUGCCGGCGAGUGGCGAACGGUGAGUAAUAUAUCGGAACGUACCUUUCAGUGGGGAUAACGUAGCGAAAGUUACGCUAAUACCGCAUAUUCUGUGAGCAGGAAAGCAGGGGAUCGCAAGACCUUGCGCUGAUUGAGCGGCCGAUAUCAGAUUAGCUAGUUGGUGAGGUAAAGGCUCACCAAGGCGACGAUCUGUAGCGGGUCUGAGAGGAUGAUCCGCCACACUGGAACUGAGACACGGUCCAGACUCCUACGGGAGGCAGCAGUGGGGAAUUUUGGACAAUGGGCGCAAGCCUGAUCCAGCCAUGCCGCGUGAGUGAAGAAGGCCUUCGGGUUGUAAAGCUCUUUCGGCCGGGAAGAAAUCGCACGGGUUAAUACCCUGUGUGGAUGACGGUACCGGAAUAAGAAGCACCGGCUAACUACGUG
rnacentral:rRNA from 1 species